GCGAACGUUGUUCAGAAUCACUGGGCUUAAAGGGCGCGUAGGCGGGCCGCCAAGUUCGAGGUGAAAUCCUCCGGCUCAACCGGAGAACUGCCUCGAAUACUGGAGGCCUCGAGGCGGGUAGGGGCAUGCGGAACUGUGGGUGGAGCGGUGAAAUGCGUUGAUAUCCACAGGAACUCCGGUGGCGAAGGCGGCAUGCUGGACCCGAUCUGACGCUGAGGCGCGAAAGCCAGGGGAGCAAACGGG
rnacentral:rRNA from 1 species